GCAUGGCUGUCGUCAGCUCGUGUCGUGAGAUGUUGGGUUAAGUCCCGCAACGAGCGCAACCCUUGCCAUUAAUUGCCAUCAUUCAGUUGGGCACUUUAAUGGGACUGCCGGUGAUAAACCGGAGGAAGGUGGGGAUGACGUCAAGUCCUCAUGGCCCUUAUGGGUAGGGCUUCACACGUAAUAGCAAUGGUCGGUACAGAGGGUAGCCAACCCGCGAGGGGGAGCCAAUCCCAGAAAGCCGAUCGUAGUCCGGAUCGUAGUCUGCAACUCGACUACGUGAAGUCGGAAUCGCUAGUAAUCGCGGAUCAGCAUGUCGCGGUGAAUACGUUCCCGGGUCUUGUACACACCGCCCGUCACACCAUGGGAGUGGAAUCUGGCAGAAGUAGGUAGCCUAACCGCAAGGGGGGCGCUUCCACGCUGGGUUCANKAC
rnacentral:rRNA from 1 species